GUUGUAUUUUGACUACAUCACUGUGUAUAUAUACAUUGUUAAUAAAUGAAAGGAGAUACACUUCUCAUAUUUCUCCUAUUUUGAUAUCACGUUAUGCUUGUUGACGAUUUCUAUUGUCACUAUUAGCUCACCUCUAUUUUGUGUCACUAUUAGCUCACCUCUAUUUUGGAAUUCUACUUCAACCACAUAUUCAUCAAUCCAGUGUUAAUUUAUUGACAUAAAAAAAAUGAGACCAUGGAUCAAAAAUUAAAACUGAUAAAAGAUGAGAAAGGCAAGGUGGUGGAUGCAACUGGGUAUAGAAGAAUCAUCGGGAGUCUUCGUUAUUUACUCCACACUCGCCCGGACUUGAGUUACUCGGUUGGGCUCGUGAGUAUAUUUAUGCAAUCACCAAAAGAAUCUCAUCUUGCAGCCGUGAAGCAAAUAUUAAGGUAUCUAAAGGGUACCACAAGUUAUGGGCUAAAAUACAAAAGAGGUGGAGAAGGUCGGUUAGUGGGUUAUUCAGACAGCAGCCACGGAACCGACCGUGAAGAUUGUCGAAGCACAACUGGUACGGUGUUUUUUUUCGGGAAAUAUGAUCAUGUGGUCCUCUCAGAAGCAGAAAACAGUGGCUAUUAGCUCAUGUGAAGCUGAAUUCAUGGCCGCAACAUCGGCGACGUGUCAAGCAUUAUGGCUAAGAAGUUUACUCAGCGAGUUAACCGGCAAAGAAGCUCAAAAGGCGUUGUUGUUAGUUAAUAACGAGUCUGCGAUUGCGUUAAUAAAGAAUCCUGUUUUUCACGGGCGAAGUAAACACAUUUAUACAAAAUUUCAUUUCAUACGAGAAUGUGUAGAACGAGAACAAAUUGAAGUCAAGCAAGUAAGUGGCGAAUUGCAAAAGGCAGACACACUAACGAAAGCAUUGCCUCUGAUCAAGUUCGGUGAAAUGCGGAGUGUUGUCGGAGUCAAGUUCGGUGAAAUGCGGAGUGUUGUCGGAGUCAAGGAUCUGAAGAACGGAGCCAACACUAAGGGGAGAGUGUUGGUUAAUUAGUGGUUGACUCAUUCUGUUGUGACCGAGUACGUUGCUAUAGUUGAGCAAUUUCUGGAAUAAGACCUGUUCGUUAGGUCCUUUUCUGUUUCAGCUUUUUAUUAUAAAUAGGCAACCUAGUUGUAGAAUAAAUCAGUCGAAAAAGCAACAUUUGAAGCAUUCGGUAAAAGAGAAUCAUUCGACUGAGCU